UACGUAGGGUGCGAGCGUUAAUCUGAAUUAUUGGGCGUAAAGAGCUCGUAGGCGGUUCGGCAAGUCACGUGUGAAAUCUCCACGCUCAACGUGGAGGCGCCACGUGAGACUGCUGUGACUCGAGUCCGGUAGGGGAGCGUGGAAUUCCCGGUGUAGCGGUGAAAUGCGCAGAGAUCGGGAGGAACACCCGUAGCGAAGGCGGCGCUCUGGGCCGGUACUGACGCUGAGGAGCGAAAGCGUGGGGAGCAAACAGG
rnacentral:rRNA from 1 species